UACGUAGGGGCCAAGCGUUGUUCGGAUUUACUGGGCGUAAAGGGCGCGUAGGCGGCUUGUCAAGUCACUUGUGAAAUCUCUGGGCUUAACCCAGAACGGCCAAGUGAAACUGACAUGCUAGAGUGCAGAAGGGGCAAUCGGAAUUCUUGGUGUAGCGGUGAAAUGCGUAGAUAUCAAGAGGAACACCUGAGGUGAAGACGGGUUGCUGGGCUGACACUGACGCUGAGGCGCGAAAGCCAGGGGAGCAAACGGG
rnacentral:rRNA from 1 species